UUCGGCUUAGAGUUUGAUCCUGGCUCAGGAUGAACGCUGGCGGCGUGCCUAACACAUGCAAGUCGAGCGAGAAAUUUAGGAAUGAACCUUCGGGUGAGUGAAUAAAUGGAAAGCGGCGGACGGGUGAGUAACGCGUGGGUAACCUGCCUCAUACAAAGGGAUAGCCACUGGAAACGGUGAUUAAUACCCUAUAAGACCACAGGAUCGCAUGAUCUAGUGGCCAAAGAUUUAUCGGUAUGAGAUGGACCCGCGUCUGAUUAGCUAGUUGGUGAGGUAAAGGCUCACCAAGGCGACGAUCAGUAGCCGACCUGAGAGGGUGAUCGGCCACACUGGAACUGAGACACGGUCCAGACUCCUACGGGAGGCAGCAGUGGGGAAUAUUGCACAAUGGGCGCAAGCCUGAUGCAGCAACGCCGUGUGAAUGAUUAAGGAAUUCGGAUUGUAAAACUCUGUCCUAAGGGAAGAAAAAAAUGACGGUACCUUAGGAGGAAGCCCCGGCUAACUACGGCC
rnacentral:rRNA from 1 species